UACAUCGGUGACAGGUGGUGCAUGGUUGUCGUCAGCUCGUGUCGUGAGAUUGUUGGGUUAAGUCCCGCAACGAGCGCAACCCUAUUGUUAGUUGCCAUCAUUCAGUUGGGCACUCUAGCGAGACUGCCGGUAAUAAACCGGAGGAAGUGGGGAUGACGUCAAAUCAGCACGGCCCUUAUGUCCAGGGCUACACACGUGUUACAAUGGGUGGUACAAAGAGAAGCCAACUCGCGAGAGCGCGCCAAUCUCAAAAAGCCAUCCUCAGUUCGGAUUGGAGUCUGCAACUCGACUCCAUGAAGUUGGAAUCGCUAGUAAUCGCGGAUCAGCAUGCCGCGGUGAAUACGUUCCCGGGCCUU
rnacentral:rRNA from 1 species